GACGAACGCUGGCGGCGUGCUUAACACAUGCAAGUCGAACGGAAAGGCCCUGCUUUUGUGGGGUGCUCGAGUGGCGAACGGGUGAGUAACACGUGAGUAACCUGCCCUUGACUUUGGGAUAACUUCAGGAAACUGGGGCUAAUACCGGAUAGGAGCUCCUGCUGCAUGGUGGGGGUUGGAAAGUUUCGGCGGUUGGGGAUGGACUCGCGGCUUAUCAGCUUGUUGGUGGGGUAGUGGCUUACCAAGGCUUUGACGGGUAGCCGGCCUGAGAGGGUGACCGGCAACAUUGGGACUGGGAUACGGCCCAGACUCCUACGGGAGGAAGCGGUGGGGAAUAUUGCACAAUGGGCGGAAGCCUGAGGCAGCAACGCCGCGUGCGGGAGGACGGCCUUCGGGUUGUAAACCGCUUUCGCCUGUGACGAAGCGUGAGUGACGGUAAUGGUAAAGAAGCACCGGCUAACUACGUG
rnacentral:rRNA from 1 species